UAAAAUAAUGGUUCUCCAAGUUGAGUUUUAAAUAAAUAUAUUUUAAAAUUCCUUGGAGAAUUCCAAUCACCCUAUGUGCACUGUAAAUGUUUUUCGAGUACUUUUUUAUGAUAUGAUUAUAAAAGUACUCGACCAUAUUUAAAAACCCCAAUUUUUUAAUUUGUCUGAAUUUUUUUUUUUAUAAAAUAAAAAAAUA
rnacentral:misc_RNA from 1 species